rnacentral:lncRNA from 1 species
AGGUAGCUGGGAUUACAGGCGCCCGCCACUACACUUGGCUAAUUUGUUGCAUUUUUAGUAGAGACGGGGUUUCACCAUGUUUGGAUGGUUUUUAAAGGAAAUGAAUCAGCUUUCAUGGUUUCAUGACAGGGUUGCUAAAACUUUGCUCUAUACGAUUUUCCCAUAUGUCCUCCACAUACAGGAAUUGGUUUAUUUUGGCAUACACUGAUAAUCAAAACCGUGCACUUCCUGUGUCCUGUGUGGACAUCUGUUAAUGAUGCAAGAGGAUCUAUAGCUAUUAUCUUUCAGAAUAAUGAAAAUAUCAUUUCUGUUAAAUGUAUUUUAGACCUUAUCACUUUACAGUCCAGGCAUCUUAAGCUGUCUUCCAUUUUUUCCCAUCUUUUUUUUCGCCUCUUAGUGUAUUCUGGAUACAUUUUUUUUUUCAGAGAGCGUCUCUGUUGCCCAUUCUAGAGUGCAUUGGCAUGAUCACGGCUCACUGCAACCUCGAUCUCCCUGGCUUCAGUAAUCCUCCCACUUCAGCCUCCCAAAUAGCUGGACUAUAGGCAUGUGCCACCACACUAAGCUAAUUUUUUUUUUUUUUAGUAGAGACUAGGUCUUGCUAUGUUGCCUAGGCUGGUCUUGAACCCCUGAGCUCAAGUGAUUCUCCCGCCUUGGCUUCCCAAAAUGCUGUGAUUACACUGAACCCAUGGAUACAUUUUUCUGUAUCUAAUGCUACUGUUAAGCCCAUCUAUUGAGUUUUUAAUUUGAGUUAUUGUUUUCAUUCCUAGACAUUCUAGACAUUUCUAAACAUUUAGUUCUUUUUCAACUAUGCUAGAUCACCUUUUAUAUUUUCUAUAUCUGCAGAAAUUUUUUCAAGCUUGUGUCUAAUAAUUCCAAUACUUCAAUUAUUUGUGGGUCUGUUUCUACUUUCUAUUGUUCCUGUUCUUGCUCAUGAUGCCUCAUUUCCUGUGGUUGGUUAUUUUUGGCUGUGUGCUUCUCAUCACCUUAGAAAAGUUGUAUGUGGGGGUUCUUUGAGGUCAAGGAUAAAGGUGCCUCCUCUGUAGAGAAUUUGUUUUUGUAGUUGCCGCAUAAAAACUGUACUAUUUAGCCUGGGAUCACUUUAAAUUCAUGGCUUGAGGUUCUUGUGGACCACCCAGAUGAUGUAAAUUUUAGGUAAAAAUUUUUGUUAGAGCUAAUUUGUAGUUAAAAAAAAAA